CCGCUGGUGGGACACCCUCCAGAACCUACUCUGUGCCUGGAACUGGCAGACUCUCUGAAUACUUUCGCCUUCCACGUGUACCCCAAGGAAUCCGUAAACCUCGUGGUCCUGAUCCUCAUGCAUCCUGGGAAGAACCCAGACAGAGAUCCGACGCUUUGUCAAGAAGUGACAUACCCUCUGGUAGGACGCCCUACAGAACCUACAACUUGCAUGGAACUGACACAAACUCUGAAUCUUUUCCACUUGGCUUUGUAUCUCGAGAAGCCAGUACUCCUCUUGAUCCUGCUCCUGAUGCAUGCUGUGGACAGCCUACACACGCAGCCUACAAUUUGUUAGGAAUUGACAAACCCGCUGGUGGGACACCCUCCAGAACCUACUCUGUGCCUGGAACUGGCAGAAUCUCUGGUGUGUCACCCUAAAGAACCUAUACUGUGUCUGGAACCAACACAGCCU